rnacentral:hammerhead_ribozyme from 1 species
GUAUUGCUGAAGAGUCCCAUACUAAGACGAAACAGCUGUCCAGUAC